rnacentral:lncRNA from 1 species
CUUAUAUUCAUUCAGCUAAGGCCAGAAUCAUGCAGCCUGGAUGUACAGCUCUGCAAUGAAUUGAAUAUGUGAGUGCCUAUGCUGUGAAGAUGUAGGGAUGCUCCCUGUCCUCAAGAUGCUCACAUCCAGAAGAAUGCAUUUUAAAAGGUCUAGGUGAGAAAACAAAGGUUUGGCAAGGAUGAGUACUUGCUGCAGGUCCAACAGUUAUGACUGGAUUGGAACUUCAUCCCAGCUUGGCCUAACUUCAGAGGAGUUUCAUUCAACUUAUAUAGAUUCGAUAUGAAAUGGGAAUGCAAGAAGGCAUAGAUAUUUCUGGUUGAUUCAAUUUCCUGAUAAUUCCCAAUUACAAUAAAAGAAAUGGUUUCAUAAGGACU